rnacentral:lncRNA from 1 species
UAUCUUACUCAUCUUGAGGUGAGCUUACUACUUAGAUGCUUUCAGCAAUUAUUCACUCUAUAAUUGGCUACCCAGUGUUUAUCGUGGGCACGAUAACUGGUAUACCAGAAAUACUUCCUUUUCGAUCCUCUCGCACUAGGGAAAUGUCCUCUCAAUGUUCUAACGCCCAUACCAGAUAUGGAUUGAACUAUCUCAUAACGUUUUGAACCCAGCUCACGUGUCACUUUAAUGGGCGAACAGUCCAACCCUUGGAACAUACUACAGCCCCAGGUAGCGAAGAGCCGACGUCGAGGUGCCAAACAUUCCCUUCAAUGUGAGCUCUUGGGGAAGAUCAACCUAUUAUCCCUAGAGUAACUUUCAUCCGUUAAGCGAUGGCCCUUUCACUCAACACCGUCAAAUCACUGAGGCCGACUUUCGUCCCUGCUCGACGAGUGGGUCUUACAGUCAAGCUCCUUUCUGUUUUUGCACUCGAAUGCCGAUCUCCGUCCGGCCCAAGAAAAUCUUUACACGUCUCAGCUACCUUUCAAGAGGCCUACACCCCAUAAAAAUUGCUACCUGAGACGAUCCCUUGGCCCGUAGGUCCUAACACAAGGUUAGAAUUCUAGCUUUUCUAGAGUGGUAUCUCAAUGAUGGUUCGGGCCCCUCGAACGGAGGCCUUCUUCGCCUUCCACCUAAGCUGCGCAAGAAAGGCCCAAACCCAAUCCCAAGGAAUAGUGAAGCUUUAUAGGGUUUUUCUGUCCAGGUGCAAGUAGUCCACAUCUUCACAGACAUGUCUAUUUUAUCGAGCCUCUCUCCAAGACAAUGCCCAUAUCGUUAUGCCUUUCAUGCGGGUCAGAACUUACCCGAUAAGGAAUUUCGCUACCGUAGGACUGUUAUAGUUACGAUCGUUGUUCACCAGGCUUCGGUCA